GGGGCCGACCUGGCUUCGACGCGGGUACGGAGUCGGUUCAGGGCAUGCCGAGCACCAGAACAGCUCGUAAAUCCAUCUGGAAACAAAGUAACUGCGAACGAUACUUCGUACGCCCUCGCCGCUUAACACCGGUGAGCCUCGCAACGGUUGGCCGAUGGGCCGGGGCCGACACCCGCAAGGGUGAAGGCCUGCGAGGUUAUUCACAUUGGCUGGUGCCGUCCCGCGUCAUUCGGGACGGAGCGAGACUCAAGUGACUGGCGGAUCCGGUAGCGUGCUGCUGCGCGACCGGGGCCGCGAGACUCAAAUCAGACAGCUACGCAUGUAGAACUGGCCGGCAAAGGCUUGCGGACGCGGGUUCGAUUCCCGCCGGCUCCACCA
rnacentral:tmRNA from 1 species